UACGGAGGAUGCGAGCGUUAUCCGGAUUUAUUGGGUUUAAAGGGUGCGUAGGCGGUCCGUUAAGUCAGCGGUAAAAUUGCGGGGCUCAACCCCGUCGAGCCGUUGAAACUGCCGUGCUAGAGAGGAAGAGAAGUAGGCGGAAUGCGCAGUGUAGCGGUGAAAUGCAUAGAUAUCGCGCAGAACCCCGAUUGCGAAGGCAGCAUACCGGCGCCCGACUGACGCUGAGGCACGAAAGUGCGGGUAUCGAACAGG
rnacentral:rRNA from 1 species